AUACUUACCUGUCAGGGGAGAUACCAUGAUCACGAGGGUGGUUUUCCCAGGGCGAGGCUUAUCCAUUGCACUACGGAUGUGCUGACCCCUGUGAUUUCCCCAAAUGCAGGAAACUACAUAAUUUGUGGUAGUGGGGGACUGCGUUCAUACUCUCCCCUG
rnacentral:snRNA from 1 species